rnacentral:rRNA from 1 species
CCAGCUUGCUGGGGGGAUUAGUGGCGAACGGGUGAGUAACACGUGAGUAACCUGCCCUUAACUCUGGGAUAAGCCUGGGAAACUGGGUCUAAUACCGGAUAUGACUCCUCAUCGCAUGGUGGGGGGUGGAAAGCUUUUUGUGGUUUUGGAUGGACUCGCGGCCUAUCAGCUUGUUGGUGAGGUAAUGGCUCACCAAGGCGACGACGGGUAGCCGGCCUGAGAGGGUGACCGGCCACACUGGGACUGAGACACGGCCCAGACUCCUACGGGAGGCAGCAGUGGGGAAUAUUGCACAAUGGGCGCAAGCCUGAUGCAGCGACGCCGCGUGAGGGAUGACGGCCUUCGGGUUGUAAACCUCUUUCAGUAGGGAAGAAGCGAAAGUGACGGUACCUGCAGAAGAAGCGCCGGCUAACUACGUGCCAGCAGCCGCGGUAAUACGUAGGGCGCAAGCGUUAUCCGGAAUUAUUGGGCGUAAAGAGCUCGUAGGCGGUUUGUCGCGUCUGCCGUGAAAGUCCGGGGCUCAACUCCGGAUCUGCGGUGGGUACGGGCAGACUAGAGUGAUGUAGGGGAGACUGGAAUUCCUGGUGUAGCGGUGAAAUGCGCAGAUAUCAGRGGAACCCCGAUGGCGAAGGCAGGUCUCUGGGCAUUAACUGACGCUGAGGAGCGAAAGCAUGGGGAGCGAACAGAUUAGAUACCUGGUAGUCCAUGCCGUAACGUGGCACUAGGUGUGGGACAUUCCACGUUUCC